GCCGAGCAGAUUGGCCAGGGCAAGGCUAUUUGUGAAAAAAAAACAAGCCCCCACCACCCCCAAAAUCCAGACACACACAGCACCACUGAGUAUGGUUGUAAUCUAGAAAAUAGAAUAGCUAACCCGGAGGUUGCUCUGAAUCUGUUAUUUGUUUAUUUGCAGUUGUCGUCAACAUGUCAGCAGCUCCUUCUAGUCAGAAAUAUCCCUGAUUAUUUAUUAGUUAGCUCUCUCUCUCUCUCUCUCACUCACUCGAAUCUGGCACCGAUCACCAAAUGUUCUGUCACUGUUAAUUCAGAAUACAGACUCUCACGUGAAGUGCAGAGCGUUUGGCUCUUUGCGCAUAGAAUAUGGUAUCUGGUGUAUUUAAAGAAAUAUAUAUAUGAAAGGUUGUGUAGAAUUCGCAUCGUCUGAACAGAACGCAGCUGCAAGAGAGAAUUGAGUUAGUAAAAGGUCGACGCUUGAAUCAUACCAGGGAAAUGGGGUGGACAUGAAGCACAAGCCAAGCUAAGGGUCCUUCAGCUAAAUCCUCGAUAGGAUUGCAGCACAGCCAUCCUGUUAGAGGGAUAGAUCUACGCAAGAAGACCUCAACAGACUCUUAUCACAUGUAAGGGCAUCUGUAACAAAAGAAUCUUGAGAUGUUUUAUAAGUUACACUGAAAAUAGGCAGCACAACAUUUAAAUUUUGAAAAUGUUAUCUCUGUCAAAAAUACACACACUUAUUUGAGUCUAGAUUGGUGUGAAACACAAUCUAUGGCAUUUUCUUUCAACAGAGCUUUAGCCUAUUAAUAUAUAUAGAUAAGAGUUGCGAUUCUUCUUAUUUAAGAGCAACAUUUGCAUUUUUAUAGCACUUGUAACAAGCAAAAUAUCCCAAAGUGCUUAAGAUGUGUGUUAUCAAUUCAUAAAAAGGUAGAGAGCCACAGAAUGAGAUAUCAAAUGAUAAACAGCGUGUUCAAAAAGAUAAAUUCCAAGGAAUGACUUAAAGAAGAAUAGCUAGAGGGGAGUGAAUUUAGAAGCAAAUUCCUGAGCAUGGAGUUUUAGCAACUGAAUGUAUACCUAUCAAUAUUGGAGUGAUUAAUAUCAAGGUUGUGCAAGAUGCAAGAAUUGGAAGAAUGUAAACAUUGAAACAUAGAUAAUUGGAGCAGUCGUGGGGCAUUUGGCUCUUUGAGCCUGCUCUGCCAUUCAGUAUGAUCAUGACAGAUCAUCCAAUUUACUUUCUUGUUCCCACUUCCUCCUCAUAUCCUUUGAUAUGAUUGAAGUUUGGAUGUUUAGUGGUGGUUACAAAAAUAGGAAGGGGUGAGGCCAUGGAGAGAUUUGAAAACAAAGGUGCUGAUUUUUAAGUUAUGUUGUUACCAGAAUGAGAACGACUAUAGGUUAGAAAAUCAUUGAUAGGUAAAAUAAAUCAGAUGUGAAUUGACAUAUGUUUUUCCUGUUUCGAAGUUUUUGAUGGACGCAGGUUUAUGUGAGGUGGAAGAUCACUUCCCAGGAUGUGAAUUAUAAUAGUCAAAUCUAGAGGUAACAAAGAAAUGGAGGACGGUUUCAACAGCAGAUGAGAAGAAGCAGAGUAGGAAACCAGCCAAUGCUAGAGGCGAAAGUAGGCAAUCGUGAUGAUGUAGCGUAUAUGUGAUCAGACACUGAGCUCAAGCUCAAAGAUGACAUCAAUAUUGCAAAUGAUCAAGCUUGUUAUGUCUACUUUGUAGCAAGAAAGAAUGGGCAAAGGCAAAGGGAGAAAGUUAUGUUAAAUUAUCUCUUGAUAGAACAGAAUUUUGCUGAAAAGAGAGGCCUGUUGCAAAAGACAAAAAUAGAAAUUGCUGGAAAAGCCAACCUGAAACGUUAACUCCGAUUUCUGUCCACAGAUGCUGGCAGACCUACUGAGCUUUUCCAGCAACUUCUAUUCUUGUUUCUGAUUUACAGCAUCCACCAUUCUUCUGGUUUUUACAUGUUGCCAAAACCUUUAAUCUUGCGCUCAUUAGGAUAUCUCCAAGAGUAACAAUUUUCAAACAAACAUGACAAUUUUGAUGUCAGGACUAAAGGGAUCAAGUUGGCUGGCCAAUCAAGUAGCAUACCCUUUCUCUUGUGGCUUAAAUUGUUGUGAUAAUUUGAAGUUAGGCAUUUUUGCACUUGUCCAAAUUAGCUUCAACAUCAUGCUUCCCUUAUGCUGAUCAUUUAUAAAUCACUGGUUAGGCAUCAGUUUGAAUAUUUUGGCUGAUUCUGCAUCCCACUCCUUUUUAAGAAGGAAGAAUCUGUGAAGGUGAUUUACUAGAAUUAUACCAGAGGUAAGAUACUUCAGUCACAGAGAAAGACAAGAAAAUUUGAGAUUAUUCUCCUAAAGCCGAGAAAGUUAAGAAGAAAAUUGUGAAGGAUUUUGAGAGCAUAUAUCAUGAAAAUGUGUUUUCACUGCCAAUAACCAUUGGACAUAAAUUUAAGAUAAUUAAUCAAAAAUAGAAUAAAAAUCACUUUAUACAGUGUCUUUAAUAUAAGACAUCCCAAGUUGUUUUACAGGAGAAUGAGACCAAGCUGCAUAAGGACUUACUAGGUCAGAUGACCAAAAGCUUGGGCAAAGAGUUUUAAGAAAUAUCUUAGAGGAGGAAUGUGAGCUUAUGAUACAGAGGUGAAGGAAGGUUAUUCCAGAACAUAGGGUCUUAGAUACUGAAGGCUGAACCACCAGUAAUGGAACUCAAGGAUGGUCAAGGGGCCAGAAUUAUUGGAGCACAGAUAUCUGGGACGGUUGUGGGUGGGAGGAGAUUACAAUAAUGAGUGGGGUUGAUAAGAAUAGCGUAUUUUAGAGUGUGUUAUUAUGGCCUUAAAUGCAUUGUCUGAGUCGGUUGAAAGAGUAGUACAAUGAAGAGAGAGCAAGACUAUGGGACCAACUGUACUUUCAAAGAACCACAAACACAAUGAACUGAAUAGACUUUAAGAUCGAGCUGGAUGAACACAGCAGGCCAAGUGGCAUCAGAGGAGCAGGAAAGCUGAUGUUUCGGGUCAAGAGAUAGUAGGAACUGCAGAUGCUGGAGAAUCUGAGAUGACAAGGUGUAGAGCUGGAUGAACGCACACAGCAGGCCAGGCAGCAUCAGAGGAGCAGGAAGGCUGACGUUUCAGGUCUAGAAAUAGUAGGAACUGCAGAUACAAGGUGUAGAGCUGGAUGAACACAGCAGGCCAAGCAGCAUCACAGGAGCAGGAAAGCUGACGUUUUGGGUCUAGAGAUAGUAGGAACUGCAGAUGCUGGAGAAUCUGAGACAACAAGGUGUAGAGCUGGAGGAACACAGCAGGCCAAGCAGCAUCAGAGGAGCAGGAAGGCUGACGUUUCGGGUCUAGACCAUUUUCAGAAAUCUAUAACCUUGUGAUGUAUGGUAUGCCCAGAGAUCAUCAUUUUGUUAUAAUUGCCUUUAUCACAUGGAAAAUUUUAGUGUAUAUGAUGCACAAGUUAUUAUCUGCGCUGUUUACCCUCUCUCCCGUACGAGAAAACUGCGUAGAUAGUUCUGCAUUGAACUGCCUUGCUGGCAGUUAUAUUCUGAGCGAGUUUACAAAGUGGAUUUGAAGAUUUCAGCACCACGAACAGCUACCACGCUGCUGUCGAGCCUUUUCGAAACGGGCUCACAUGCAAACAACAGCGGGCCGGCGGAUCCUAUCUCAGCACGAAUCAACUGUUGGCUCAGUACAGAACGCCAACAAGACAAUAUUAAAAGUUUGCAAAGAUUCAGCUUUGCUGGAAGUAUAGUACUAUCACGUUACUGACAGUAAGGAUAUAUCGGCGUGACUGCAUCUUCUACUGCUGAGUUGCAACCAGAUAGGGAUGACAAGAAUUAAGAAAUGAUUUAUAAUAAAUGAAAAACAGAAUUGUUGGCAUUUGGAAAAAAAAUCUUAAAGUUCACUUUGUAUUCAUUUUGCAUAAAAGCACGGGAGUUUGGUGACUGUCUGGAUUCAUUUGAAAAUAAUUCAUCUUUCAUGCAAGGACCAUCAUCGUUUCCACCCAUUGAGACAUGUUUGUGUUCCAUGCAUUGCGAUCUUUGUUACUGGGAUAUAGGGAUAUACAGCUGGACCCAGGCAUUUCAGCAAAUGAGAGUUAAUAAGGUAGCAUUUCUCAAGAUAUGCUGCGCUGUCCAGGGAAGAAAAACGUCCUGAUGUUGUAUACACAUUAGUAAAAUUGAUUGCAAACCAGCACAGGCAUGUCAGUGUUGUGUGCACCUGUAUGUGCUGUGGGUGUUCCUCUCAACAACACAGUCGGAGAAUAAUGGGGAUUUUUUCUCUUUUUGCAUUCAUGUUUUUGCUUAGCUUUGCUUUAG